UCUGGCAACCCUGUGGGCCCACUAGCGAUGGACUGGAUAGACUGUUGUUCCGUAUGUUUAUGAUCGGGUUUGUAUGAUUUGUAGAGCACAAGCACUGACCUAUGUUUAUUAAAACGCUAUGGAAUUGCAAGCUGUAAUAUUAGCUGCAGGUCGGGGGUCACGGAUGACUGACCUCACAGCCAGCUUACCAAAAGCUUUGUUACCUGUUGCAAAUAAACCAAUGAUAUGGUAUCCAAUCAGCAUGCUGGAGAAGGCAGGAUUUGAUGAGGUGAUCAUAUUAACUUUGGAUAGUACAAAAGGCGCCAUCUAUCGGGCGUUAAAAUCUACACAAAUUCAAAUCAAAAUGGAUUUUGUCACAGUGUCUAGUGAGGAAGACUUGGGUACAGCAGACUCCCUCCGGAUCCUUAAUGAACAACGCAAAAUUAAGACUGACAUCCUUGUAGUGAGCUGUGACCUAAUAACUGACAUUGCUCUUCAUAAACUUGUUGAUGUGCACCGGACGUAUGACUCUACCAUGACGGCCCUGAUGAUGGCACUACCAGAGCAGUCCUCUGAAUCUCUUACUAUCCCAGGAACGAAAUCCAAAAAGAAAUUAGAAUCUCGGGAUUUAGUUGGCUUAGAUGAGAAAGGCCAGCGUCUAGUUUUUAUGGCUGCCGAAGAGGACAUUGAGGAGUUUCUAACUGUACGGAAGUCAAUUCUUGAAAAGCAUCCAUUUAUUAAAGUUGGCACAAGUUUACUAGAUGCCCAUAUGUAUAUAUUUAAGAAAUGGGUGAUUGAUUAUUUAUCAGAACAUAAAAAUAUUUCAUCUGUAAAAGGAGAAUUGAUUCCUUGUUUAGUGAAGAAGCAAUUUAUUAAGAAACGAGCUGAAGAUGUUGAUGAUGAAGGCUCUAUGGAGCAUGCUACACACAAUCACAAUUAUUCCAGUGUUGAUGCGCUGAAGCAGAAGACACUUGAAAUGUCAUCAUGGACUGGGGAUGAGGGAGGGAUUACAAAUGGUUGCAUAGCUAACAUUGAUGCUAUCAAAUGCCACGUAUAUGUCAUGGAUAGUGGUUUCUGCUCACGGGCAAACUCUCUGGCUGCGUACUGUGAUGUUAAUAGACAGAUUCUUCAGAGUAAACAUGUUUUAGAAGAAGAAAAUUUUGUGCAUUCAACAGCCAAAGUAAAACCAAAAACACAGGUUGGUCAGGAUUCAAUGGUAGGCGAGGAAAGCUCAGUUGGUGAGAAGGUUUCUGUUAAAAGAUCGGUAAUUGGUCAACAUUGUAACAUUGGAGAUAAGGUGAAAAUAGCCAACUCAAUAAUUAUGGACCAUGUCACUAUUAAGGAAGGGUGUGUUAUACAUGGCAGUGUUAUUUGUGGAAAUGCAAGUCUCAGUGAACAAGUGGAACUUAAAGAUUGUCUGGUUGGAAGCAAGCAAACAUUACCUGAAAAAGCUAAAUUCAGCAAUGAAAUUAUUAUUGACAACAACUACAUGAUGGAGAUAUGAGAGCAGUUUCGCUAAGUAAAGUAAAUUGAAGUAUGAACACUCAGUCAUUGGUAAAAGCAUGUCCGUCAUUGGUUAUAGCAGGCAGGCAUAUUUGGUAUUGUAGAAGAAGCAGUGCUUUGGCAACACCAUUCGUGUCAUCCAGUCCUGCUAUGGAUAAUGAGGUGGUUAUUACAGCAACUGUUUCCAUAAUUAAUAACAGUGUUUGAAAGUGAAAAUGUGUCUGAUGCAAAUUAACUUACUAGGUGAGACACCAAGAGACAUUUGUGUAUUUUCACAUCUAAUAUGUCUGUAUGCUUGUGUGAGAGCGCCACCCAGUAGUGUAAUGUUUGUAAGCUCUCUGUGGCAGAACCAAGGCUUUGACUUCUACCCAGCACUGUAAUACAUAGUCUUGACCAGUGUGCUCUCAUAGGGAAAUCUCCAUUUUCAAAGUUCAGAAAUGGCCUCUUACCCCACUACUCUGCUACAUUACUUUCCAGUAGAAGUCACCCAAAAAUAAGAAAACUAAAACAGUGUAAUUCUCAAUUUUAACUCAGCCAUUUUAUGUAGAGUAUUUACUGACAUAUAAUGGCCCCCAACAUAUUCAUCCUCCAAUUCUCUCCCCCCCCCCAUACAUAGCCCUUGACUCACUGUUUCACCACUUGUGCCACCAUGUUAGGAUUUGCUCGGUAUUGUUCAAUGCAUGCUAUAGAAUUCUAUUAUAAGUGUUCUUGCUAUUUAGCAUUAUUUAUGUCCCCCCAAAUUGAAACCAUCUGCUGGCCCAUGGCCUAAUGUUUUUGGUACCUGUGCGAUUAUGCUAAUUAUUCAUUUACAUAAUUAAUACUUAAUUAUUGAGUGCAUUUGCAAUGUAGACUUCCAUAAUUCCCAAUAAUUUACAUGAAAUAAUGUUGAUACUUGAUAUUUUUGAAUGUAAACAAAAUCUGCAAUUCAGUUCGCAGUUGGUUUGGAAAUAUUUUUAUUAUUAUUAUACUUUUUAAAAUUAAUAAACUGUUAAGUAAAUAUCAGUUUAAUGUAUUUCAUGUUGUUUAAUGAAAUAAAAGUUUCAAACUGUUGCAGUUAAAACUAAUCCAAUCCGAAACUCACAAUAAAUUGGACUUGUGACCAGCAGAGCGAGUUGAUCAGCAACCAAAUUCAAGUGAUCUGUGUUUGACACAGUACAGUUUUUCAUGCUUUAGUAAAAAAAAUUAAUCAGAAAUCGCUUUAGGCGUUCUGUAAUGUCUGUUCAUGUUAUCGUCUGGGGCUUAAGCCUAGUAUGUGUAGGUAGGUCUUUCUAUUAGACGUGAGGUGCAAAAUGAGCUUGCAACAACUCUACGUAGCACCUUCUAUAAUUUUUGUUAAACUCCUUUGUCAACGUUCGUCGUACAUAUUUUGUGAAAAAAUUACAUCGCAGGGAGGUAAUAUUUUACUACAUAGCACAUAAGGAGUUAUUCUAAUAAAUUUAUAUAAAUUUAAUAGUUAAAUGCGCAUCGAGUGAGAGAAAUUUGAGGGCAUACCUACACAUAGAUAUUUUACCUAGAAUCAGGUCACCAUGCAUGCAGUUGCAUAAUGGUGGCACUGGAGGCUCUGCCUUCUGACUGGGGCCAUUUUGCAUCAUGGUCACCAAUUCCAUCGUGGGAUUUUUGAUGUGUUCAUUUUUUAAUCAUGUUCGUCAUUGUAUUCUAAAUUGUUUUAUGAUGAUAUCGGUGCGAAUCCGCUAACUUGAAAUGGAGGAGCUCAGGGAGGGUCUAUACCACCUUAGCCCCACUGUGGUUCGUGUUUACCUGUAUGGCACCUCCAGGUGGCCGGAAGUAGCACUCACAAGCUUAAAAAUAUAUUUUCUUUUUAUCUCCAUUUUUUUAAAUGUCUCCUCCCCACCAACUUUAAUGGUCACUGGAUAUAAUAUGGUAUAUGGCAGUCUGCUGUUAUGUAUCAACAAAGCUCCUUUCGGUCAGUUUGUCUAGACCUUCCUGGCCCUAAUGGUUAUUGGCCCCGCGGACUGCAGCACGAGAGCAUGUAGGCAUUACGCCACUGCAUUUUCCCAAGUUAGGUCACAUGACUCGUAUUCGUAUGUUGUACUUGUUUUUCUUAGUAAUAUUAUAUGCCUGUGAAUAACCACAUUUAGUCGGUUAUAUCAAAUUGUAAUAGAACGUAACCCUGCAUUUUAUUAUUUAAAAAAAAUAACCUAAUACUUCAAAACGAUGCUUUAAUCUCGUAUUUCUAGUACUAUUUGUACAUUAAUCAUGUACCUUAUCACUUGACUUGUAUGACCUUUUUACCACAUUUUCUGCAACCUAUACUUUCCUAAAAUAUAUUUAGUGUCCUCACGAAUGUCACGAUGUAAGUUUCAGCACAAAAAUUCUGGAAUUCAGUGGAAAUAAAUUAUGCAAACCAGUGGUAAA
rnacentral:misc_RNA from 1 species